UGCCUAUACAUGCAAGUCGAACGAACUCUGGGUAUUGAUUGGUGCUUGCAUCAUGAUUUACAUUUGAGUGAGUGGCGAACUGGUGAGUAACACGUGGGAAACCUGCCCAGAAGCGGGGGAUAACACCUGGAAACAGAUGCUAAUACCGCAUAACAACUUGGACCGCAUGGUCCGAGCUUGAAAGAUGGCUUCGGCUAUCACUUUUGGAUGGUCCCGCGGCGUAUUAGCUAGAUGGUGGGGUAACGGCUCACCAUGGCAAUGAUACGUAGCCGACCUGAGAGGGUAAUCGGCCACAUUGGGACUGAGNACACGGCCCAAACUCCUACGGGAGGCAGCAGUAGGGAAUCUUCCACAAUGGACGAAAGUCUGAUGGAGCAACGCCGCGUGAGUGAAGAAGGGUUUCGGCUCGUAAAACUCUGUUGUUAAAGAAGAACAUAUCUGAGAGUAACUGUUCAGGUAUUGACGGUAUUUAACCAGAAAGCCACGGCUAACUACGUGCCAGCAGCCGCGGUAAUACGUAGGUGGCAAGCGUUGUCCGGAUUUAUUGGGCGUAAAGCGAGCGCAGGCGGUUUUUUAAGUCUGAUGUGAAAGCCUUCGGCUCAACCGAAGAAGUGCAUCGGAAACUGGGAAACUUGAGUGCAGAAGAGGACAGUGGAACUCCAUGUGUAGCGGUGAAAUGCGUAGAUAUAUGGAAGAACACCAGUGGCGAAGGCGGCUGUCUGGUCUGUAACUGACGCUGAGGCUCGAAAGUAUGGGUAGCAAACAGGAUUAGAUACCCUGGUAGUCCAUACCGUAAACGAUGAAUGCUAAGUGUUGGAGGGUUUCCGCCCUUCAGUGCUGCAGCUAACGCAUUAAGCAUUCCGCCUGGGGAGUACGGCCGCAAGGCUGAAACUCAAAGGAAUUGACGGGGGCCCGCACAAGCGGUGGAGCAUGUGGUUUAAUUCGAAGCUACGCGAAGAACCUUACCAGGUCUUGACAUACUAUGCAAAUCUAAAAGAUUAGACGUUCCCUUCGGGGACAUGGAUACAGGUGGUGCAUGGUUGCCGUCAGCUCGUGUCCUGAGAUGUUGGGUUAAGUCCCGCAACCAGCGCAACCCUUAUUAUCAGUUGCCACCAUUAAGUUGGGCACUCUGGUGAGACUGCCGGUGACAAACCGAAGGAAGGUGGGGAUGANCGUCAAAUCAUCAUGCCCCUUAUAACCUGGGCUACACACCUGCUACAAUGGAGGGUACAACGAGUUGCGAACUCGCGAGAGUAAGCUAAUCUCUUAAAGCCAUUCUCAGUUCGGAUUGUAGGCUGCAACUCGCCUACAUGAAGUCGGAAUCGCUAGUAAUCGCGGAUCAGCAUGCCGCGGUGAAUACGUUCCCGGGCCUUGUACACACCGCCCGUCACACCAUGAGAGUUUGUAACACCCAAAGUCGGUGGGGUAACCUUUUAGGAACCAGCCGCCUAAGGUGGGACAGAUGAUUAGGGUGAAGUCGNACAAGUG
rnacentral:rRNA from 1 species